CAAAGGCUUGGUCCUGACUUUACUAUCAACUCUAGCUAAACUUACACAUGCAAGUAUCCGCACUCCCGUGAGAAUGCCCUAACAGUUCCCUGCCCGGGAACAAGGAGCCGGCAUCAGGCACAUAACCCCAUAGCCCAUAACGCCUUGCUUAGCCACACCCUCAAGGGAAUUCAGCAGUGAUAGACAUUAAGCAAUAAGUGAAAACUUGACUUAGUUAAAGCUAAGAGGGCCGGUAAAACUCGUGCCAGCCACCGCGGUUAUACGAGAGGCUCAAGUUGAUAGACCACGGCGUAAAGCGUGGUUAAGGAAGACUAUAAGACUAAAGCCGAAUGCCCUCAGAGCUGUUAUACGCUCACGAUGGUUAGAAGCUCGAUCACGAAAGUAGCUUUACACAACCUGAACCCACGAAAGCUAUGGCACAAACUGGGAUUAGAUACCCCACUAUGCUUAGCCCUAAACAUCAAUAGUACAAUACACCCACUAUUCGCCCGGGAACUACGAGCAUUAGCUUAAAACCCAAAGGACUUGGCGGUGCUUUAGAUCCACCUAGAGGAGCCUGUUCUAGAACCGAUAACCCCCGUUUAACCUCACCCUUCCUUGCUCCUUUCCGCCUAUAUACCGCCGUCGCCAGCUUACCCUAUGAAGGACCCACAGUAAGCAAAAUUGGCACAGCCCAGAACGUCAGGUCGACGUGUAGCGUAUGGAGGGGGAAGAAAUGGGCUACAUUCCCUAAUACAGUGAAUACGAAAGAUGCACUGAAACGUGCGCCAUGAAGGAGGAUUUAGCAGUAAGCAGGAAAUAGAGUGUCCUGCUGAAAUUGGCCCUGAAGCGCGCACACACCGCCCGUCAUUCUCCCCGAGCUUAAAAACUCACUUAACUAAAACCCCAGACUCGCUAAGGGGAGGCAAGUCGUAACAUGGUAAGUGUACCGGAAGGUGCACUUGGAACAAA
rnacentral:ncRNA from 1 species